rnacentral:rRNA from 1 species
AUUGAACGCUGGCGGAAUGCUUUACACAUGCAAGUCGAGCGGCAGCGCGGGGGCAACCCUGGCGGCGAGCGGCGAACGGGUGAGUAAUACAUCGGAACGUGUCCUUGAGUGGGGGAUAGCUCGGCGAAAGCCGGAUUAAUACCGCAUAAGCUCUGAGGAGGAAAGCGGGGGAUCGCAAGACCUCGCGCUAUUGGAGCGGCCGAUGUCAGAUUAGGUUGUUGGNGGGGUAAAGGCCUACCAAGCCGACGAUGGGUAGCCGAUCUGAGAGGAU